UUUCCGUAGGUGAACCUGCGGAAGGAUCAUUAAAUAAUUUGAUAAUUACACAAUUAUCUAAUUUACUGUGAACUGUUUUAAUUAUGACGCAUAAGGGGAUGACUAUAUACCAUAGGGUAGGUAUAUAGAAUGUUAACCUAGUCAUAGUCAAGCUUGAUGCUUGGUACCCAUUAUUAUUUACCAAAAGAAUUCAGAUUAAAUAAUGUAACAUAGAUCUAAACAAUCUAUAAAACAACUUUUAACAACGGAUCUCUUGGUUCUCGCAUCGAUGAAGAACGCAGC
rnacentral:misc_RNA from 1 species